rnacentral:lncRNA from 1 species
AUUUUCCAACAUAAAAAUAUAUUUUCUCUCUGUCUCUCUCCAGUACAGUUCUAUCUUAUCAUGUACUAUCCGUCUUGUCUUGUCUUGUAUUGUUCUGUCCAGCACUUAAUGUUUUGCGAAUCAAACACACCCUGUAUUAUCUCUCUAUCACUCUCUAGUACAGUUAUGUCUUGUUCUAUCUAGAGUACUUACUGUUUUGUGAAUCAAACGCUGCCUAAAGGUUCUACCACCACAAAAGACAGAGAGAGAGAGAGAGAGAUCAAUCGAUAUAACAGUAAAAUAAAGCCUUUAGCAAACAAAUACAAUUCAGACAUUCCUCUAUCCUAUAGCAAUAGCAUCCUAAAAAUUAUCAAGCAUUUCAGAGCAACAAGACUUGAUGAAACUAAAGCAAUAAUGCUCAAUUUAGUAUUAGUUCAUAAGAUAUCUUUCAUUAUUCUUCUGUCUAAAUACACCACAUAUCAUUUCUCACACUUUCUCGGUUAAAAGAGAAAAUCUGUGACUAACCUGUUAGACCAAUGUCUGUAUG